UACGUAGGGGGCGAGCGUUGUCCGGAUUUACUGGGCGUAAAGCGCGUGUAGGCGGGCGAUUAAGUCGGGUGUGAAAGCCCGGGGCUCAACCCCGGGAUGCCGCCCGAGACUGGUCUCCUUGAGGACGGAAGAGGGGAGUGGAAUUCCUGGUGUAGCGGUGAAAUGCGCAGAUAUCUGGAGGAACACCGGUGGCGAAGGCGGCAUCCUGGACCAAUAUUGACGCUGAGGAGCGAAAGCCAGGGGAGCAAACGGG
rnacentral:rRNA from 1 species